GUGGUGCUAUCGCCCUUGGGCAUCCGCUUGGUGCAACGCGUAUUUUACGAAGUCGUGUAUGCUUUAAUCUUAACACAACAUAACAGGUGCACGCUGUGUGAGUACUCUACCGAAGGAAAUGACACGCAGACGCAAAGACUGUCGCUUUGGAGUGAUAUCUAUGCUCUGCUGGGAUGGGAGCGGCAGCAGUAUCUGAGAGGGGAGAUGCAGUUGAUCAACUCGGCAAUGCUCAACAAAUUCAGUCCAAUAACUUGUUGUCAAAAGAUGCUAUGUAGAUAGAUCGCCAUCCUUCUAUUUGCUGCAGAUUGAAUGCAUAGAGACUCUUCAAUGUCAAGAUGUUAGUUGGUGGUGAAAUUGUGUUGUUGUUGUUAGUAAUAAUGCUCGUAAAUCCCGGUGGAUUCGGAGGAAUAAUACGAGGAUCCGUCACAAGAAGUAAUAUUUCAAAAUAUCUAUCAACGGAGCUCGUACCAUACGUAGGGAAAAAUAUUUAUGUUCUGUGCAAGUGAUGUAUUUUGUUUUUUAGCAUCUGAAGAGUGAACCACUCCAGCUUGAAAUCAACUAGUGAAUUAUUAUUUUGAUAUGGUGGUUGGAUUACUUGGGACAUAGGCACCAGCACGGUUGGGAAUAUUAGCAAAUGCAUGCGUAAACAAAGACUGUUACAGAUAAUGUUGGACAUGCUUUUUAUAGUUUAAU